rnacentral:rRNA from 1 species
AUACGGAGGAUCCAAGCGUUAUCCGGAUUUAUUGGGUUUAAAGGGUGCGUAGGCGGAAGUUUAAGUCGGUUGUGAAAGUUUACAGCUCAACCUUAAAAUUGCCGUUGAUACUGGUCUUCUUGAGUGCGUUUGAUGUGGGCGGAAUUUGUGGUGUAGCGGUGAAAUGCUUAGAUAUCACGAAGAACUCCAAUUGCGCAGGCAGCUUACAAGACCAUAACUGACGCUCAUGCACGAAAGUGUGGGGAUCAAACAGGAUUAGAUACCCUGGUAGUCCACGCAGUAAACGAUGAAUACUCGCUGUUUGCGAUACACAGCAAGCGGCUUAGCGAAAGCGUUAAGUAAUCCACCUGGGGAGUACGUCCGCAAGAGUGA